AGGGAUUAUCGACCAUUGAGAUGAUCCCUGUGAGUCUCACCAUCCACCAGUGACACCUAGCAGUAUGUAGUGGCUACCCAGCAGAAUAGAAUGAUGAACCUCUAGGUGCAGUUAUCGUAUGAUACAGUUCUUCUAUCGUGGAUCCCUACAGACCGGAGGUCAUGGAUAACUCGUCAAACCCCGUUGUCUGUCAUAUGUCUAGAUUUAUUCGACUUGAGUUCGAUAGUGGAAAACUCUUUCUCCACUGUAUAUUAUUGCCCUAGCCAAGGUCUUAGAACUCUGUCUAAUAAAUCACAUAGGAUCACUCUUCUUCUAUCAAGGUCGAUAGAUUCCAU
rnacentral:lncRNA from 1 species